rnacentral:rRNA from 1 species
UAAAACGACUCUCGGCAACGGAUAUCUCGGCUCUCGCAUCGAUGAAGAACGUAGCGAAAUGCGAUACUUGGUGUGAAUUGCAGAAUCCCGUGAACCAUCGAGCCUUUGAACGCAAGUUGCGCCCCAAGCCUUCUGGCCGAGGGCACGUCUGCCUGGGUGUCACAA